UACGAAGGGGGCUAGCGUUGUUCGGAAUUACUGGGCGUAAAGCGCACGUAGGCGGAUCCUUAAGUCGGGGGUGAAAGCCCGGAGCUCAACUCCGGAACUGCCUUCGAUACUGGGGAUCUUGAGGUCGAGAGAGGUGAGUGGAAUUCCGAGUGUAGAGGUGAAAUUCGUAGAUAUUCGGAGGAACACCAGUGGCGAAGGCGGCUCACUGGCUCGAUACUGACGCUGAGGUGCGAAAGCGUGGGGAGCAAACAGG
rnacentral:rRNA from 1 species